GAUGCCCGGACGCCGCCUCGCUGUGAUGCUCUCCCGAUCUCCACGUCUCGCAGGGGACGACCCGAGGCUGUCGAUCGACGCGUUGACUUCGUCAUUGAAACCCUUAACAGGUGGGCACAGUGGCUUAUCGAUGGGCACCAGGCGACUGUGACAAAUAUCUAGGAGGGAGCAAGGGAAGACGAUGGCAACGAUUUGCUAGAGAUGCAGGCAUAUGACCCUGAGACAUAUAAUGACAAGGUCAACGGAGCGCUCUGUGUGGUGAGUGUUCUGAAAAUUGUAUUGUAACUUGCAGGAAUUAGGGAUGGCACAACCAGUUUCGCAUAUUGUAUAGUAGAAGAAACAUAGUAAUCUCAACUACUUGUUAAAAAUAGCAACGAACUGUAGUGGAUUUCAUAGGUAGUAGGAUUUAUGGAAUAACUUUGCGUAGACUAUUUGUUCACUUGUUUGGGUAGUAGUAUCAUGGCCAGAUCAUUGUCAUGGAGGCAAGCAUGUGCUCAAGACUAGAGGAGUAGUGGAUUUCAUAGGUAGUAGGAUUUCAUAGGUAGUAGGAUUUAUGGAAUAUCUUUGUCCAUCGGUUUGGUUUUAGUUUCAUUUCACGUCAAAGGUUGUCAUGACAUUUAUUCAUCGUUUGAUAAAUAUGUUGAAGUCGAACAUCUAGAGGAUGAUAACAAGUGUAACGAACCAUCUUGUUGUUCGUUAAGAUAAAAGGCCAGAGCAUGGACAUGUCACAAGGUGAUGGUGAUGCAGCUACGUCGAUCAUGAUUCAUUUAGGAUUGAAUGAAGUUACUGGUGUGACCUUGUCGAGACUGAAGUAAGGAGGGAUAGAGCUAAAAACUCUCUUGACAGUAAGGUAUGAUCUUCAUGCUCAGGGAUUUUUGUUUGAGGUGCUUGGUUGUUUCUUUUCUAUGAAUGUUCUGUGAAUGCUUGUAAGCUGGUAACCCUAGAAAUACUCAUGUUAAGCUUUCAAUAUCAGCUGGACCGUUUGGUCCUUGGUCUAAAAGGAUUAAAGUCAAUGAGUUAUUUCUUCUCUGUGCACCUCCUCUUCGUGUAUCAGUGGUGAUGCCGCAAUGACAAAAGAUGGAUAAAGUAGUAUUAGAAGGGGACAAGGAUUCAUGGACUCAAAUUGAUACCUCAUCCCAGAUACCAGUAUUUCAAUCCCUAAGUUGCCAGAAAAAAUAGAUAUGUCAGAAAGGCGUUGAUGUUAAAAAUAGUAUAACAGAAUGAAAACAGGAAAUAAAGAAAAAAAACCUUGCUGUUGCAAAAUAAGUAAAAACAAAUACAAUACUUUGACUGGUUACAUAAGUGCAAGAGAA